rnacentral:rRNA from 1 species
GACGAACGCUGGCGGCGUGCUUAACACAUGCAAGUCGAGCGGUAAGGCCCUUUCGGGGGUACACGAGCGGCGAAUGGGUGAGUAACACGUGGGUGACCUGCCCUCAGCUCUGGGAUAAGCCCGGGAAACUGGGUCUAAUACCGGAUAUGACUCCAUGACGCAUGUUGUGGGGUGGAAAGCCUUGUGCGGCUGAGGAUGGGCCCGCGGCCUAUCAGCUUGUUGGUGGGGUGAUGGCCUACCAAGGCGACGACGGGUAGCCGGCCUGAGAGGGCGACCGGCCACACUGGGACUGAGACACGGCCCAGACUCCUACGGGAGGCAGCAGUGGGGAAUCUUGCGCAAUGGGCGAAAGCCUGACGCAGCGACGCCGCGUGAGGGAUGACGGCCU